rnacentral:rRNA from 1 species
UGGGGAAUAUUGCACAAUGGGCGCAAGCCUGAUGCAGCGACGCCGCGUGAGGGAUGACGGCCUUCGGGUUGUAAAACCUCUUUCAGUAGGGAAGAAGCGAAAGUGACGGUACCUGCAGAAGAAGCACCGGCUAACUACGUGCCAGCAGCCGCGGUAAUACGUAGGGUGCGAGCGUUAUCCGGAAUUAUUGGGCGUAAAGAGCUCGUAGGCGGUUUGUCGCGUCUGUCGUGAAAGUCCGGGGCUUAACCCCGGAUCUGCGGUGGGUACGGGCAGACUAGAGUGCAGUAGGGGAGACUGGAAUUCCUGGUGUAGCGGUGGAAUGCGCAGAUAUCAGGAGGAACACCGAUGGCGAAGGCAGGUCUCUGGGCUGUAACUGACGCUGAGGAGCGAAAGCAUGGGGAGCGAACAGGAUUAGAUACCCUGGUAGUGCCAUG